GAUGAACGCUAGCGGCAGGCCUAAUACAUGCAAGUCGAACGGGAUUGCGGUAGUAGCUUGCUACUACUGCAUGAGAGUGGCGCACGGGUGCGUAACGCGUGAGCAACCUACCCAUAUCAGGGGGAUAGCCCGGCGAAAGUCGGAUUAACACCGCAUAACAUCAACAGUUCGCAUGUUCAGUUGAUUAAAUAUUUAUAGGAUAUGGAUGGGCUCGCGUGACAUUAGCUAGUUGGUAGGGUAACGGCUUACCAAGGCAACGAUGUCUAGGGGCUCUGAGAGGAGAAUCCACCACAAUGGUAAUGCGACACGGACCAGACUCGUACGGGAGGCAGCAGUAAGGAAUAUUGGUCAAUGGGCGCAAGCCUGACCAAGCCAUGCCGCGUGCAGGAGGACUGCCAUAUGGGUUGUAAACUGCUUUUAUCAGGGAAUAAACCCCUUUACGAGUAGAGGGUUGGAUGUACCUGAAGAAUAAGGAUCGGCUAACUCCGUG
rnacentral:rRNA from 1 species